rnacentral:rRNA from 1 species
UACAGAGGUCUCAAGCGUUGUUCGGAUUCAUUGGGCGUAAAGCGCGUGUAGGCGGCCCGGUAAGUCCGCUGUGAAAGUCGGGGGCUCAACCCUCGGAUGCCGGUGGAUACUGUCGGGCUAGAGUGCGGAAGAGGCGAGUGGAAUUCCUGGUGUAGCGGUGAAAUGCGCAGAUAUCAGGAGGAACACCAAUUGCGAAGGCAGCUCGCUGGGACGUUACUGACGCUGAGACGCGAAAGCGUGGGGAGCAAACAGG